rnacentral:rRNA from 1 species
CCCUUAGAUGCUCUGGGCCGCACGCGCGCUACACUGGUCGAUGCAACGAGUUUCUUUCCUUGGCCGACAGGCCUGGGCAAUCUUUGAACAUCGAUCGUGAUCGGGAUAGAUUCUUGUAAUUUUUGAUCUUAAACGAGGAAUUCCUAGUAAACGCAAGUCAUCAGCUUGCAUUGAUUACGUCCCUGUCCUUUGUACACACCGCCCGUCGCACCUACCGAUUGAAUGGUCCGGUGAAAUCUCCGGACUGGCGUGAGUCGGAGCAAUCUGACAAACACCGGAAAGUUGAUUAAACCUUACCAUUUAGAGGAAGGUGAANUCGUAACA